AAAGGGGGCAACUCCGAGUAGAGCGGCGAACGGGUGAGUAACACGUGGGUAAUCUGCCUUCGAGUGGGGAAUAACACCGGGAAACUGGUGCUAAUACCGCAUAACAUCCUUGGAUCGUAAGGUUUGAGGAUCAAAGCUGGGGACCGCAAGGCCUAGCGCUCGAAGAGGAGCCCGCGUCCGAUUAGCUAGUUGGCGGGGUAACGGCCCACCAAGGCUACGAUCGGUAGCCGGCCUGAGAGGGCGGACGGCCACACUGGGACUGAGACACGGCCCAGACUCCUACGGGAGGCAGCAGUGGGGAAUUUUUCGCAAUGGGCGCAAGCCUGACGAAGCAACGCCGCGUGGAGGAUGAAGGCCUUCGGGUUGUAAACUCCUGUCGACUGGGACGAAAGUAGUCCGAUCCAAUACAUCGGGCUAUCGACUGUACCGGGUGAGGAAGCCCCGGCUAACUCUGUGCCAGCAGCCGCGGUAAUACAGAGGGGGCAAGCGUUGUUCGGAAUUACUGGGCGUAAAGGGCGCGUAGGCGGCCCGCUAAGUCGAACGUGAAAUCCCCGGGCUCAACCCGGGAACUGCGUCCGAUACUGGCAGGCUUGAAUUCGGGAGAGGGAUGCGGAAUUCCAGGUGUAGCGGUGAAAUGCGUAGAUAUCUGGAGGAACACCGGUGGCGAAGGCGGCAUCCUGGACCGAGAUUGACGCUGAGGCGCGAAAGCCAGGGGAG
rnacentral:rRNA from 1 species